rnacentral:tRNA from 1 species
GGUCCUAUGGCUUAAUGGAUAAAGCGCCGGUCUACGGACACACGUCGACAACCGGAGAUUCCAGGUUCGAUCCCUGGUAGGAUCG